rnacentral:rRNA from 1 species
UACGUAGGGUGCGAGCGUUAAUCGGAAUUACUGGGCGUAAAGGGUGCGCAGGCGGUCUCGUAAGCUGGGUGUGAAAGCCCCGGGCUUAACCUGGGAAUGGCAUUCAGGACUGCGAGGCUUUGAGUGUGGCAGAGGGAGGUGGAAUUCCACGUGUAGCAGUGAAAUGCGUAGAGAUGUGGAGGAACACCGAUAGCGAAGGCAGCCUCCUGGGCCAGCACUGACGCUCAUGCACGAAAGCGUGGGGAGCAAACAGG